UAUAGCCCGUUGCUCGCCGAAAUUUGGCGAAGAUGUAAUGAUGAGCUUCAUGGUGAAGGACCUAAGUCCUACAGUGUCCGGAAAGGAGAACCUCUGCUUCAUCAAGAUUAAGGAAAAAUCUUGACGGUGCCUGCCUGUUCCCUUCUGACUGAAACGUACGCCAGCGAAUAGGCCUUACUCAUCUCCCCGGGCGCCAUUGUAAUACACCACAGGCAGGAAAUGGGAUGUCGGCUUCGCAGACAGUGGCUGUAGUCGUAGUAUGCUUGUGUUCUCACACUGGGUGCCCACUGGGUGCGGUUGGCAGUGGUGGAUCCAUGGAGAGAAGGAAAUUCAAUAUAAACCGAGGUUUUGGGAGGGGCGAUCGCCCGACCGUCCCCACUCACCUUCUUCGAUCUGCCACUGGAUGUUGGUCACCUGUAAUGUGCUAACAUGCACAUGGCUACAAUAAACUAUAUAUUUUAUAGUUUUGAA